AAAAUUAAAGGGCAUAUAAGUGUUAGCAAACCAAAUCAAAAUCACCAAGGCCAUUUUGGUGAUGGAGAGCCUAGUUUCAAGCCUAGUUUAGCAUGGAGGCCUGCUUGUUUAUUAGUCCGCACUUCUUGACCCUGUGAUUUCAAUAAAAGGACAAAAGUUCAAAAUUUGUUAGUCAUGCUGAUGUGGCAGUCUGCAAUAAAUAAAAAAUAUUUUAUUAUUUUUAAAUUUUAAUUUUUUUUUGGGGCCUAAGAUAUUUUUUUUAAAAAAAUUAUUUUAUUAGAAUUGCACCUCCACGUCAGCAUAACUAACAACAUUAUAACAUUGUCCUUAAAGUUCUAACUGGGUAAAGCUUAGGCCUCAAGGUACCAUGUUGUCGAAAACUGAACCACAGACAGACAGACCCCUAAUUGUUAAAAGUGCGAAACCCACUUUUUUAUACUUUUUCCUAAUAGUUAGUAAACAAAAGUUUAUAAUGAUAAAUUACUGGGUUAGUUUAAGUUAAAAUUUGGAGCACUGAGGAUGAGCCUCAAUGCAACACUAAGGUUGCUCCAUUUUGACUUGAAGGUCAUUGGUUCAAACCAAGGAAUCCUCCUUAUACUUGCAAGGGUAAGGCAACAUACCUCUGAUUCUCCCCAGAGCCAAUAGUGUGGGUGGCUUCAUGCUAUUGUGCAGUGGGGCACCUUUUUUACCUUACACUAAAAUGUGGUUUGUUCAUUUGUCUUUGUUGUCAAUUGCAGGCUUUACCAUUUUAUACCUUAUGGCAGCAUGAGCUACAGGUGCCUGUAUUUGGGUCACUUUCAGUUGAUUCUUCACAUGGAAAUGUUAUUUGUUGUUUAGUGGAUGGGAACAUUGUUGCAUUGGAUUUGCGUGGAUCUAUCAUUUGGCAGCGUAAAACUGGUGGUCCUGUAUUUGCUGGAGCCUGCACAUCUUGUGUGCUUCCUUCUCAGGUGCUGGUAUGUUCAAGAAAUGGAAGUGUGUAUUCAUUCGAAAUGGAAAAGGGAGAUCUACUCUGGGAGUAUAAUGUUGGAGAUCCCAUAACUGCAUCUGCUUAUGUUGAUGAGCACUUACAGCUGGUGUCUGACUCCUUCCUUGUGUCAGACAGGGAUAAGAAAAAAAGUCAACUUUCGAGACAAAUGCUCAACUCCCUUCCCCUUGCUUACACUACAAUUUGGGGUGCAAGAAAAAUGGGAGUUUGAGGGGGAAGGCCCCUUCCAUACCCUUCCUAAUAAAAAGCCACUGCCAAACAUGAUGAGCUAGGUACUUUAUCUUCCCUUCCCCUGUCCCCCUCCUUACCCCCAAUCCAAACAAAGUGUAAAUUGUAAGAAAUCCUGAGUAUACAUUAUCUAAUGUAUCUGUCCAUGACAUCUUCCAGGUUGGUUUGUGUAUGUACGAGUUCUGGAAGCAUUCAUUUGCUUCUUAUCAACAGGGAUGUUGCAGGAAAGGCUAAUCAACCAAGGAUGAUUAUGUGCACUGUAUUGCCCUUGAAAAUCAAAGUUCAGUGGAAGAGUGAAAGUUCUGGUUCCCAUUAUGCAUUCUUAUAAAACUAAAAGCAUGAACAGCUGUAUCCACUUAAAUCUUUUGGAGAUCAGUCGUUACAUAUGGUUUUGAAGCCAGCACAUUUGAUGUGUUUCCCUCUGGACUGCAUGGCUGCUUAAUAUGAUGUCAUAAUCGGCUAGCGAUCCCCUUGGUGUGUCUUCUCAUGUCAGCCAUGACAUCAGUCAAUUGAAUUUCGGUUGUGCCUCGUUUGCAUUAAAG
rnacentral:misc_RNA from 1 species